rnacentral:rRNA from 1 species
AUUGAACGCUGGCGGCGUGCUUUACACAUGCAAGUCGAGCGGCAGCACGGUCUUCGGACUGGUGGCGAGCGGCGAACGGGUGAGUAAUACAUCGGAACGUACCUUUUAGUGGUGGAUAACGCAUCGAAAGAUGUGCUAAUACAGCAUAAUCUCUGAGGAGGAAAGGCGGGGACCUUCGGGCCUGUCGCUGAAAGAGCGGCCGAUGGCUGAUUAGCUAGUUGGAGGGGUAAAAGCCCACCAAGGCGAUGAUCAGUAGCUGUUCUGAGAGGAAGAUCAGCCACACUGGGACUGAGACACGGCCCAGACUCCUACGGGAGGCAGCAGUGGGGAAUUUUGGACAAUGGGGGAAACCCUGAUCCAGCAACGCCGCGUGAAUGAAGAAGGCCUCGGUUGUAAAGGACGUCUUUGUUCCGGUAAAGAAAAGACAACUGGGUUAAUACCCCGGUACGUCCUGACGGUACCGGAACGGAAUAAAGCACCGGCGUAACUU